AUGGGUCCCACGGGUUCCACGAUAGCACUUGGGGUCUUGGGCGGUGCAUGGCGGAAGGACCAUGCAGCCAUUGCCUGCGACAUCUUCCGCCGCGCGGCGCGCACGCACGCUUCCCUUCGGCGCCGAAUCCGCGGCGGCAGCUGCUCGCUCCGUUGCCAGGGCCGCCCGCAAGGCGGUGGCGCAGACGCCACGCAACCUCACUUGCACACGCGCGGCGCCCUCGCCCGUUCACUGGUGUGGGGCGCCGAUUGUGUCAUUGCUUGUUGUGUACGCGGGAUCGACCAGUCGGUCUUCUCGGCCGCGCCAGGCACGCGAGAUGUUCUCGAGUGGUCACCACACGAGCUUGUCCACCGCCAUCCCCUGCAGCAGCGGUCGCGCCGCGACGUCGCGGCUGGUGACGACCGGCACGCGGCAGCAGACCGAGCGGCCGCGGCGGUCCUCGGAGGACACGCGGCGGAGGACGUCCAGGAAGCGGUCCUCGUCGCAGCAGGGGAGCGCGACGGGGCCGGGGGUGGACGGGAAGCCGUACUCCUCCUCCGACUGCCGGAGCAGCUCCCGGAACACGGGGUGGUUGAGGUGCGCCGCGCGCACCAAGAACCGCCGCGACUCGCCACCCACGCACACCGCCACGUGCCCCGACGGCACCGGAGCCGUCGGCGCCGCCGCGGCCCGGGACCGCCAACGCCUCAGCGUCUGCUGGAGGCGGACGAUGCCCUGGAUCUUGCCGCAUUUGGCCAUCGCUCCCUUUCCGCUGCCUGA
rnacentral:rRNA from 1 species